rnacentral:lncRNA from 1 species
GCACUGCCUAGCUCAGGACAGUAUGUUUUCUGGCAGGGCUUGGAUAUGCCAAAAAGAUGAGCAUACAAAUGUUUUGGCAAGGACUUCUGAAUAUCAGUCUGUUUCACAGGCUAUGUCACAAUGCCAAGUUGUACGAUUUCUUCGAAAAUAAAAUCAGGAGUGUAUUGGAAGUUAAUACACUUCUGAUGCUGCAGGACUUUCUAAAGUCCUGGAUUUUUCAAAAUCACUGGGUGACAAUCUUCCUUAUACUUUUCCUACUAGUUACUUUUGGGUUAAUAUUCCUAAACAUUCGUACAUCCUUUCACAAGGAGACUGUGCAGCUGAAAAAGGGACCUUCACGUACGUGUUCCCAGAAGAGUGAAGAUAGUCACCAGAAAAGGAUAAAAUUUGCUGUGAAGAAUUGUAGAGAUGACGAUCACUUAUCUUCGGAACAUAGAAUUAACAUCUUUUCAGAAGGAAUUACUUCAUCACUUACAUCUAAACAAAGUGAAGAUAGCUUUGAAGAUGGAAAUGUAUCAUUAGAUGAAAUAACGUGAGCAGAUGGCAUUGAAAGUGAACAUGGAGUAAGUCACUUUAGUGAGUUGUCUUCAGGUAACAUCAGCUCAUCUUUGUCAUUAUUUGACUUAAAAUUAGGAAAAUGUUUUCUAAGCCCUGGACAGCACCCAGAAAAUGAAAGUCAAACAACACAUUUUUCCUCUGAGGAAUUAUUUUUAUUAACAAAAACCAACAAAAAGGAAAAUUCAAGAUUUUCUUCUCAUCCUAAUAUUUUAAAAACUUCUGAAUUCACUGGGGCAAAGGAAGAUCUUGAGGCGACACCAUGCCCUCCUGCCCAUCUAUUACUCACUAAAGGCCAAGUUAGACUUCUGGAAGAAAAUAUCAGAAAUCAAAUUACUUUAAAACCUAAAGCUGCAUUUAAAAAUGAAGCUACUAAUUUGUGCUCAAGAUCUCAAGAGUCCUUGGUUCAGAAUCAACACUCUGUUGGAAGGGUUAUUGCUGACCAAGCACAAGAUUCUUUUCGAGGGCAAAAUACUGAUCAGAAUGAAGGGUUUUGUGAAGCACAAGCUACCACUCAAGCCCAACAAGUUAUUCAAAACCCAGAACUGGUCCACAGGCAGCCUGAUACCAAGGCGAGCGAUUUUGCUCAGCCUCAAAAUUUAAUGAACGAAGCAUUUUCCAUUGGCACAGAAGAUUCUGUGCAGGCCCCGGAUAUGGAUAGGAGCCAAGAAUUCAUCAAAGCCCCAUAUAGUGUUGAGACAAAAAAUGCAAUCAAGGGCCUAGAAUCUGAUCAACAGCCAGAACUGUCUUUAAUGGCUAAUGCUGAUGAACUAAAAACACUUUGCUCAUUAUUAGAAACAACAAACUGCAAGAAUAAAGUGUCACCUAAGGACCCAAGUAAGCUGACGUUUGGUCAGCACGUUCCAAAACAUGAAAUGCCUUCAGAAGUUACAUCAGAAUCUAGGCAGAAACUGGUGUCAUCUCCCCAGAUGACACUGAACAAGAAAAUGGAAAUACAGAAGGGCCUACAAAGUGCAGAGGAUUCCUACCUACAAUUCUCAAACAAGGAGGACUUUACACCUGGUGCACCUCACAGGCCAAAGUGCUCUCCAAUUACCAAGGCAAAGAAGGCAUCGAUUUCAAAGAUAAUUAAUAUUACACGGUGUGGUCCUCACAAACACCUACCACCUGAGACCCUGAAAUCACAGACUACUGAAUUUUUAAUAUGCUCUGGGGUCCUAUCUUAUAGGUUUCAUAAAACUCUACUGGAAGAUGCAUCAGUGGAGAAAAAGAAAGGAUUAGGACAAGAAUGUCCAGGAACAAUCCUGGAAUCUUUCCCUUUCUCCAAACUUGUUUCACUUGCAUCUGAAAGAGAGGGAGACAUAGCAAAAUGUAUGGACAAGACACAUAAAAUGUGUCCCAAACAUGUAACUUUGAAGGCGAAGAAGCCAAAGACACUUAAUAUCGCAGGAUGUGACAUAACAAGCCAUCGACGGGAACUAAGAUGCUACUCCAAAACCAAGAUGAAACAAAGUAGGCCUAUGGCAGAUAUAUUCCUAAAUGCCAUUUUAUCAUCAUUGAUAGUGUCCCUUAACAUGAAACUGUGUGACGGAAUAAUAGUGACAAAUAUGGUGCAGAAAAAAAGAUUUAAUCCUGAACCACAACAGCAAGAGCAAGCAGCACAUGAAGAGAGAGCCUGGCAUGUGCAUUCCAUCCAUGAGGGCAUCGUCACAGAUGGCACUAAGGAUGUGAAACAUCUCGCUGGAGGAGCAGACCCACUGGUUUCCCAACAGUUCAGUUUCAAAGUUAAUGAAAUGAAGGAGCCCAACUUGAGGAAAUCAGAGCUAGAACUGAAGAUUUCAGCAACCAGCAAAAUGUUGGAAGUGCUCCCUACAGCUCAGGAGCUCCAGCAACAGACGCUUGCUACCCAAAGUAGAUUAAAUUCUAUUCUGAGUUCAUCCCCAUUUGAGAAGCUACAAAGAACAACAGAAUCACAGAAAGCCUUACAAGAUAGUGGUAUCUUCUCUCCACAUCUCAAUGGAGAGCCACGGAGAACAAAGCAAUCAAAUUUAAUCAACAACCCAUUAAAAUCAAGAAGACAGUGGACUUUUCAAAAACAUUAAGAGCAAAGCAAUUGAAUAUUUAUAAACAGAACAAAAAAUUUUUCUGGAAUCCGUUAUCUCUUGGGUGAUACAUCAGUUUAGUAUUGAAAUUCCAAAGAAACAAGUCUCAUCAAAAGCAAUCAUAAAUUCAAAAAUUUCAAAUAGUGUGGUGGAGAAAGCAUCAAGCAAAGUUUGUAUUUCAGGAGACCAAUCUCCAAGUAUAAAAGUCAAUGCCUUUGACUGUGAUAACACAGUCAACAGACUCAAACUGCAGAAGGGACAUAAAAGAAAAAAACGAUAAAUAGGAAGCAUAGAAAGAGUGAUGCAAAUUUGGUUAUGACAAAAGUGUAUGAGCCCAUCCCUUCUUUACCGCACUUCAAGCUGCAUAAAGACACAAUAGAUGGGGUUUUCUCAAAUAACGUAAAAAGAACCAUAGAACAUAUAUCACGUGAAGAAAAGGACAGAGCAAAACCAUUGGAAAUGAAAGGAAUCAUGGACCAUAACAUUGCUUUGAAGGCAGAGAAACCUUCACUGUUGUACAUACCUGGUGGAAAGGAAUUGCCUUUGCUGUUGCAGAGUAUAAAACAGGAGAGCAACGUGCAAGAAGGUAAAGCUAAGAAUCCCUGUACUCGGGGGCUGAGGCACAAGGGUCACCAUGAGUUUGAGGCCAGUGUGGGCU